AAAGCCUUUUUUUAAAGACCCUUUGUCUCAAUUAUAUCUAAUUUAUUAUGUUUCAACAACCUUGAGAUUUUAAAGCCAAUUAUUAUUUCCUAAGGCAUUUUCUUGGCAAAUUUUGUAACUUCUGGGCCUCAGGCGGCUUUAAAGUGAAAAUACCUUUUUUUUUCCUUUACAGAGUGGAUGUGGCCCUUCCCUCUACCUGAGGACAUUUCAGCAGCUCUGGCCUUUCUGGGAGAAAAACUUGGGGGUUUAAAAAGAUUUAUUUCCCAUAUUUUUCUUUCUGAGUAGAAUAUAAUAAUAAGAAAUCUUAUACAUAAUAAGAGAUCUUGUCCUAUUUUAAAACAGAAACAAAACAACUCCUAAAGUAAAGGAAGGAAACUCUCAAAAGGAGGGACUGGGACAGGAGCCUUAGAAUCUUUCUCUCACACUAACCCAGCUCAGCAGCAAAAGACCUUCAUUCUGAGGGGCACACAGCCCAGACAGCAGGCAGGAUUGCCAGUGUCCACAAAUAGUGAAGGGCAGACUAAGUCCCUAAAAAGACAAAAGCAAGCAAAGAACAUCUACAACCAAAGUCACAUUGCAGACAGAAAAAACUCUCACUAGUUAAGCAUUUCAGGCCGCUGAUGCCCUGAGAGGAGGAAAGGGCAGCAAGUUCCUGCAGUCCCCUCCCCCUGCCCGGGUUCAGCCGGCCACAAGCAGCUGGGGACUCCAGCAAAGUGGGAUGUGCUCCCAUCUCACUCCCGCUGCCAUCUGCUUUAAUGUGAGGCUGCCUGUUACCUCCACCAACCAUGGAGGCCCCAAGGCCCCUUGUUUUCCCAUCUAGUGGGUCGUUUCGAUCCACUCCCAGCAUGAACGCACUGAUGCUCUUGGAAGCACAUUUAUUGUCUUAAGGACACUCCUACCACCUUUCUCUCUGGUUGUUUUUCUAAUGUAUGACCGUUCUGCCUCGGUUUCCCUUGUAGCUCUUCUCUCCCUUCCCAUUCAAUGUUUAAGGGCCUCACAAUCAAGUUUAUGCAUCUUUGUGACUCUACACUGUCUCCCCACAUGACCACCUAUGUUCCUGGCUUACAAAGGACACAGACGGACCUUCACCCAUGGCAUUUCUCAUAACUGGCAAACUCAAUAUCCAACUGCCAACGGACCUUGCACCUAGACGUCUACCAGUCACUUGUAGCCUCUGUCUGCUGCUUUCCAUCGCAUUCCCUGGCUUCCUUCACUGUAGCUGCUGACUCAAAGAUACCAGAGAGCAAGAACUGUAUUGGUCAUGAUCACCUCUAUAUCAUGAGGGCAACACACAGCCUGGCUUCGGGAAAGUCCAUAGAGAGUGGGAGAGGGA